UACGAAGGGGGCUAGCGUUGCUCGGAAUCACUGGGCGUAAAGGGUGCGUAGGCGGGUUUUUAAGUCAGAGGUGAAAUCCUGGAGCUCAACUCCAGAACUGCCUUUGAUACUGAAAGUCUUGAGUAUGGGAGAGGUGAGUGGAACUGCGAGUGUAGAGGUGAAAAUUCGUAGAUAUUCGCAAGAACACCAGUGGCGAAGGCGGCUCACUGGCCCAUAACUGACGCUGAGGCACGAAAGCGUGGGGAGCAAACAGG
rnacentral:rRNA from 1 species